CCGGUUUAAGCGUGUAGGUGUGUGUUCCAGGUAAAUCCGGUUCACUUUAACACUGAGGCGUGAUGACGAGGCACUACGGUGCUGAAGCAACAAAUGCCCUGCUUCCAGGAAAAGCCUCUAAGCAUCAGGUAACAUCAAAUCGUACCCCAAACCGACACAGGUGGUCAGGUAGAGAAUACCAAGGCGCUUGAGAGAACUCGGGUGAAGGAACUAGGCAAAAUGGUGCCGUAACUUCGGGAGAAGGCACGCUGACAUGUAGGUGAAGUGAUUUACUCAUGGAGCUGAAGUCAGUCGAAGAUACCAGCUGGCUGCAACUGUUUAUUAAAAACACAGCACUGUGCAAACACGAAAGUGGACGUAUACGGUGUGACGCCUGCCCGGUGCCGGAAGGUUAAUUGAUGGGGUCAGCGCAAGCGAAGCUCCUGAUCGAAGCCCCGGUAAACGGCGGCCGUAACUAUAACGGUCCUAAGGUAGCGAAAUUCCUUGUCGGGUAAGUUCCGACCUGCACGAAUGGCGUAAUGAUGGCCAGGCUGUCUCCACCCGAGACUCAGUGAAAUUGAACUCGCUGUGAAGAUGCAGUGUACCCGCGGCAAGACGGAAAGACCCCGUGAACCUUUACUAUAGCUUGACACUGAACAUUGAGCCUUGAUGUGUAGGAUAGGUGGGAGGCUUUGAAGUGUGGACGCCAGUCUGCAUGGAGCCGACCUUGAAAUACCACCCUUUAAUGUUUGAUGUUCUAACGUGGACCCGUGAUCCGGGUUGCGGACAGUGUCUGGUGGGUAGUUUGACUGGGGCGGUCUCCUCCUAAAGAGUAACGGAGGAGCACGAAGGUUGGCUAAUCCUGGUCGGACAUCAGGAGGUUAGUGCAAUGGCAUAAGCCAGCUUGACUGCGAGCGUGACGGCGCGAGCAGGUGCGAAAGCAGGUCAUAGUGAUCCGGUGGUUCUGAAUGGAAGGGCCAUCGCUCAACGGAUAAAAGGUACUCCGGGGAUAACAGGCUGAUACCGCCCAAGAGUUCAUAUCGACGGCGGUGUUUGGCACCUCGAUGUCGGCUCAUCACAUCCUGGGGCUGAAGUAGGUCCCAAGGGUAUGGCUGUUCGCCAUUUAAAGUGGUACGCGAGCUGGGUUUAGAACGUCGUGAGACAGUUCGGUCCCUAUCUGCCGUGGGCGCUGGAGAACUGAGGGGGGCUGCUCCUAGUACGAGAGGACCGGAGUGGACGCAUCACUGGUGUUCGGGUUGUCAUGCCAAUGGCACUGCCCGGUAGCUAAAUGCGGAAGAGAUAAGUGCUGAAAGCAUCUAAGCACGAAACUUGCCCCGAGAUGAGUUCUCCCUGAGACUUUAGGUCUCCUGAAGGAACGUUGAAGACGACGACGUUGAUAGGCCGGGUGUGUAAGCGCAGCGAUGCGUUGAGCUAACCGGUACUAAUGAACCGUGAGGCUUAACCUUACAACGCCGAAG
rnacentral:rRNA from 1 species